rnacentral:rRNA from 1 species
UGGGGAAUAUUGCACAAUGGGGGGAAACCCUGAUGCAGCGACGCCGCGUGAACGAAGAAGUAUUUCGGUAUGUAAAGUUCUAUCAGCAGGGAAGAUAAUGACGGUACCUGACUAAGAAGCACCGGCUAAAUACGUGCCAGCAGCCGCGGUAAUACGUAUGGUGCAAGCGUUAUCCGGAUUUACUGGGUGUAAAGGGAGCGCAGGCGGUGCGGCAAGUCUGAUGUGAAAGCCCGGGGCUCAACUCCGGGACUGCAUUUGAAACUGUCUAGCUAGAGUGCAGGAGAGGUAAGUGGAAUUCCUAGUGUAGCGGUGAAAUGCAUAGAUAUUAGGAGGAACACCAGUGGCGAAGGCGGCUUACUGGACUGUAACUGACACUGAGGCUCGAAAGCGUGGGGAGCAAACAGGAUUAGAUACCCUGGUAGU